GUGAUUGGAUAGUUUUUGCCAAGUUUCGGGUAUCCAAUUUGCACAAAUCUACUGUACAAUGGAUAAAAAUUGUUAACUUUAUAUAAUUCAUUGUUAUUGCAGCAAACUCUGAAUUUGUGAGGCAUACUAGGGCUAGCAGGUCAGUUUUGCUGGGCUAGUAGUUCUUCCAACAGGGCUAGUAAAAUCAUGCUACCAAUUAUCCGUGGGCUAGUGAGCUAAUACAAAAUUUCUUAACCCCUGAUAUACAACCGAGAUUUACAAAUAAUUGAUUGAUUGAUUGUUGGUUGCUUAAAGUCCAGUGGCAAAUAUUUCAUGCAUAUUCAGGACGAGAACAAGUUCACAAUAAAUACAAUAGGUAGGUUGUUGUAAUAGAGGUCAUCUAGGAUGAUGGUCGGGGAAAUUUGGACUGCCACUGGAAAAUGAGGGUGUAUUGGAUAGGGACAGAAAUUUUGCCUUACAACAGGCCACCUACGGACCCCUCAAAGAGUUGUUACAAGGGUUCUUAACGUGCAAAGAGCGUGGCACUCUCUUUACACGAGGCAUCGGAUUUAACGUCCCCUUCUUACGGACGUGACUGCGAACUUGAUACAUCC
rnacentral:lncRNA from 1 species